rnacentral:rRNA from 1 species
GACGAACGCUGGCGGCGUGCUUAACACAUGCAAGUCGAACGAUGAAGAAGAGAAACGCGAACUUCGGUUCAAAUUUCACUUCGGAUUAGUGGCAGACGGGUGAGUAACGCGUGAGCAACCUACCUCUUACAAAGGGAUAGCCUCCGGAAACCGUGAUUAAUACCAUAUGACACAUUCAUAAGGCAUCUUAAGAAUGUUAAAGCUACGGCGGUAAGAGAUGGGGUCGCGUCCCAUUAGCUAGUUGGUGCGGUAACGGCCCACCAAGGCGACGAUGGGUAACCGGGAGGAGAAGGGGAAAGAUCACAUUGGAGAUAAGACACAGUCCAAAAUCCUACGCAAGAGAGCAGAGGAGAAUACUGCACAAUGAAGGGAACUCUGACGACGCGACGCCGCGGAAGCGAGGAAGGAAUUCGUAACGUAAAUCUCUGUUCUAUGAGAAGAAAAGGACGGUACCAGAGGAGAAAGCCCCGGCUAAAUACGUG